rnacentral:rRNA from 1 species
GGUUGUUAGUCAGAUGUGAAUCCCCGCGCUUAACGUGGAACUGCAUUUGAAACUGGCAAGCUAGAGUCUGUAGAGGGGGUAGAAUUCCAGGUGUAGCGGUGAAAUGCGUAGAGAUCUGGAGGAAUACCGGUGGCGAAGGCGGCCCCUGGACAAAGACUGACGCUCAGGUGCGAAAGCGUGGGGAGCAAACAGGAUUAGAUACCUGGUAGUCCACGCUGUAAACGAUGUCGACUUGGAGGUUGUGCCCUUGAGGCGUGGCUUCCGGAGCUAACGCGUUAAGUCGACCGCCUGGGGAGUACGGCCGCAAGGUUAAAACUCAAAUGAAUUGACGGGGGCCCGCACAAGCGGUGGAGCAUGUGGUUUAAUUCGAUGCAACGCGAAGAACCUUACCUACUCUUGACAUCCAGAGAAUUCGCUAGAGAUAGCUUAGUGCCUUCGGGAACUCUGAGACAGGUGCUGCAUGGCUGUCGUCAGCUCGUGUUGUGAAAUGUUGGGUUAAGUCCCGCAACGAGCGCAACCCUUAUCCUUUGUUGCCAGCNCGUAAUGGNGGGAACUCAAAGGAGACUGCCGGUGAUAAACCGGAGGAAGGUGGGGAUGACGUCAAGUCAUCAUGGCCCUUACGAGUAGGGCUACACACGUGCUACAAUGGCGUAUACAAAGAGAAGCGAACUCGCGAGAGCAAGCGGACCUCAUAAAGUACGUCGUAGUCCGGAUCGGAGUCUGCAACUCGACUCCGUGAAGUCGGAAUCGCUAGUAAUCGUAGAUCAGAAUGCUACGGUGAAUACGUUCCCGGGCCUUGUACACACCGCCCGUCACACCAUGGGAGUGGGUUGCAAAAGAAGUAGGUAGCUUAACCUUCGGGAGGGCGCUUUACCACUUU